rnacentral:rRNA from 1 species
AUUGAACGCUGGCGGCAUGCCUUACACAUGCAAGUCGAACGGUAACAGGUCUUCGGAUGCUGACGAGUGGCGAACGGGUGAGUAAUACAUCGGAACGUGCCUAGUAGUGGGGGAUAACUACUCGAAAGAGUGGCUAAUACCGCAUGAGAUCUACGGAUGAAAGCAGGGGAUCGCAAGACCUUGUGCUACUAGAGCGGCCGAUGGCAGAUUAGGUAGUUGGUGGGAUAAAAGCUUACCAAGCCGACGAUCUGCAGCUGGGCUGAGAGGACGAUCAGCCACACUGGGACUGAGACACGGCCCAGACUCCUACGGGAGGCAGCAGUGGGGAAUUUUGGACAAUGGGCGAAAGCCUGAUCCAGCAAUGCCGCGUGCAGGAUGAAGGCCUUCGGGUUGUAAACUGCUUUUGUACGGAACGAAAAGCCCCGGGUUAAUACCCUGGGGUCAUGACGGUACCGUAAGAAUAAGCACCGGCUAACUACGUGCCAGCAGCCGCCGUAA